rnacentral:rRNA from 1 species
GAUGAACGCUGGCGGCGUGCCUAAUACAUGCAAGUCGAGCGAACGGACGAGAAGCUUGCUUCUCUGAUGUUAGCGGCGGACGGGUGAGUAACACGUGGAUAACCUACCUAUAAGACUGGGAUAACUUCGGGAAACCGGAGCUAAUACCGGAUAAUAUUUUGAACCACAUGGUUCAAAAGUGAAAGACGGUCUUGCUGUCACUUAUAGAUGGAUCCGCGCUGCAUUAGCUAGUUGGUAAGGUAACGGCUUACCAAGGCAACGAUGCAUAGCCGACCUGAGGGGGUGAUCGGCCACACUGGAACUGAGACACGGUCCAGACUCCUACGGGAGGCAGCAGUAGGGAAUCUUCCGCAAUGGGCGAAAGCCUGACGGAGCAACGCCGCGUGAGUGAUGAAGGUCUUCGGAUCGUAAAACUCUGUUAUUAGGGAAGAACAUAUGUGUAAGUAACUGUGCACAUCUUGACGGUACCUAAUCAGAAAGCCACGGCUAACUACGUG